rnacentral:rRNA from 1 species
AGAACGAACGCUGGCGGCAUGCCUAACACAUGCAAGUCGAACGAGACCUUCGGGUCUAGUGGCGCACGGGUGCGUAACGCGUGGGAAUCUACCCUUGGGUUCGGAAUAACAGCGGGAAACUGCUGCUAAUACCGGAUAAUGACGUAAGUCCAAAGAUUUAUCGCCCAAGGAUGAGCCCGCGUAGGAUUAGCUAGUUGGUGAGGUAAAGGCUCACCAAGGCAACGAUCCUUAGCUGGUCUGAGAGGAUGAUCAGCCACACUGGGACUGAGACACGGCCCAGACUCCUACGGGAGGCAGCAGUGGGGAAUAUGGACAAUGGGCGAAAGCCUGAUCCAGCAAUGCCGCGUGAGUGAUGAAGGCCUUAGGUUGUAAAGCUCUUUUACCCGGGAUGAUAAUGACAGUACCGGAGAAUAAACUCCGGCUAACUCCGUGCCAGCAGACCGC